rnacentral:rRNA from 1 species
AACGAACGCUGGCGGCAGGCCUAACACAUGCAAGUCGAGCGCGCCCUUCGGGGUGAGCGGCGGACGGGUGAGUAACGCGUGGGAACGUACCCUUUGCUACGGAAUAGCCUCGGGAAACUGAGAGUAAUACCGUAUACGCCCUUUGGGGGAAAGAUUUAUCGGCAAAGGAUCGGCCCGCGUUGGAUUAGGUAGUUGGUGGGGUAAUGGCCCACCAAGCCGACGAUCCAUAGCUGGUUUGAGAGGAUGAUCAGCCACACUGGGACUGAGACACGGCCCAGACUCCUACGGGAGGCAGCAGUGGGGAAUCUUAGACAAUGGGGGCAACCCUGAUCUAGCCAUGCCGCGUGAGUGAUGAAGGCCUUAGGGUUGUAAAGCUCUUUCAGCUGGGAAGAUAAGGACGGUACCAGCAGAAGAAGCCCCGGCUAACUCCGU